CUACGGAGGAUCCGAGCGUUAUCCGGAUUUAUUGGGUUUAAAGGGUGCGUAGGCGGCCUUUUAAGUCAGCGGUGAAAGUCUGUGGCUCGACCAUAGAAUUGCCGUUGAAACUGGGAGGCUUGAGUAUGUUUGAGGCAGGCGGAAUGCGUGGUGUAGCGGGUAAAUGCUUAGAUAUCACGCAGAACCCGGAUUGCGAAGGCAGCCUGCCAAGCCAUGACUGACGCUGAUGCACGAAAGCGUGGGGAUCAAACAGGAUUAGAUACCCUGGUAGUCCACGCAGUAAACGAUGAUCACUAGCUGUUUGCGAUACACUGUAAGCGGCACAGCGAAAGCGUUAAGUGAUCCACCUGGGGAGUACGCCGGCAACGGUGAAACUUAAAGGAAUUGACGGGG
rnacentral:rRNA from 1 species